CAACAGGGAUUGCCCUAGUAACGGCGAGUGAAGCGGCAACAGCUCAAAUUUGAAAUCUGGCUCUUUUAGAGUCCGAGUUGUAAUUUGCAGAGGGCGCUUUGGCUUUGGCAGCGGUCCAAGUUCCUUGGAACAGGACGUCACAGAGGGUGAGAAUCCCGUACGUGGUCGCUAGCUAUUGCCGUGUAAAGCCCCUUCGACGAGUCGAGUUGUUUGGGAAUGCAGCUCUAAAUGGGAGGUAAAUUUCUUCUAAAGCUAAAUACUGGCCAGAGACCGAUAGCGCACAAGUAGAGUGAUCGAAAGAUGAAAAGCACUUUGGAAAGAGAGUCAAACAGCACGUGAAAUUGUUGAAAGGGAAGCGCUUGCAGCCAGACUUGCUUGCAGUUGCUCAUCCGGGCUUUUGCCCGGUGCACUCUUCUGCAGGCAGGCCAGCAUCAGUUUGGGCGGUGGGAUAAAGGUCUCUGUCACGUACCUCUCUUCGGGGAGGCCUUAUAGGGGAGACGACAUACCACCAGCCUGGACUGAGGUCCGCGCAUUCGCUAGGAUGCUGGCGUAAUGGCUGUAAGCGGCCCGUCUUGAAACACGGACCAAGGAGUCUAACAUCUAUGCGAGUGUUUGGGUGUCAAGCCCGAACGCGUAAUGAAAGUGAACGGAGGUGGGAACCCGCAAGGGUGCACCAUCGACCGAUCCUGAUGUCUUCGGAAGGAUUUGAGUAAGAGCAUGGCUGUUGGGACCCGAAAGAUGGUGAACUAUGCUUGAAUAGGGUGAAGCCAGAGGAAACUCUGGUGGAGGCUCGCAGCGGUUCUGACGUGCAAAUCGAUCGUCAAAUUUGGGCAUAGGGGCGAAAGACUAAUCGA
rnacentral:rRNA from 1 species